UAACACAUGCAAGUCGAGGGGUAACGGAAGUAGCUUGCUACUAGACGACGACCGGCGCACGGGUGAGUAACGCGUAUGUAAUCUGCCUUGUACAGAGGGAUAGCCCAGAGAAAUUUGGAUUAAUACCUCAUAGUAUUACUGGAUCGCAUGAUUUGGUAAUUAAAGCUCCGGCGGUACAAGAUGAACAUGCGUGACAUUACCUAGUUGGUAAGGUAACGGCUUACCAAGGCUACGAUGUCUAGGGGUUCUGAGAGGAUGAUCCCCCACACUGGUACUGAGACACGGACCAGACUCCUACGGGAGGCAGCAGUGAGGAAUAUUGGUCAAUGGACGCAAGUCUGAACCAGCCAUCCCGCGUGAAGGAUGACUGCCCUAUGGGUUGUAAACUUCUUUUA
rnacentral:rRNA from 1 species